rnacentral:SRP_RNA from 1 species
GCCGGGCGCGGUGGCGGGCGCCUGUAGUCCCAGCUACUCAGGAGGCUGAGGCGGGAGAAUGGCGUGAACCCAGGAGGUGGAGCUUGCAGUGAGCCCAGAUCGGGCCACUGCACUCCAGCCUGGGCGACAGAGCGAGACUCCGCCUCAC